AAAGACAACAACAUCAACACACACAAAAAGGAAAUGGGCCACUCCAGCCAAAUAUACACCAUACGUUUUAGAUCUAUCGCCGAGAAUAGGACGUAACAUGAUUCCUAAACAGAAAAAGAAAAAAGCAAUAAUUGCACUUAAAACCAAAGGAGCAACUGACAUAAUAAUCAAGCGAAUAAAAGCAUUAGUAGAUUGGGUCUCAUCAUCGUUACCAGGUUGGGAAUUGAUAAAGAGAAAUGGAAUACACGUGAAAAAUAGUGUUCCUAGAGGCCCUAAUAUUUCACCAUAAAACAUUGUAGUAAUUCUCGCACGCGGGGAAUCCAUAGCAAUUUUAUCUGCCU